rnacentral:RNase_P_RNA from 1 species
UUUUGGAGCCAGAUCGUCGCUCCAAGUUCUUUGUAUCUUCGAGAGGAAAGUCCGGACACCACAGGGCAGGAUUCCCGGCAAGAAACGUUGUCGCGCCGGACCGACGCGCUCCGCCGAAAGGCGCGCGCGACGGCCGGACACGCUUCCGCCCAAGCCGGGGCAACGCGGGCCACAUCCCGCGUUGACGGACAGUGUCACAGAAAACAAACAGCCGCGCGCGUAAGUCGAAAGACCUGCGUGCGGUCAUGGUGAAAAGGAGGUGUAAGAGACCCCCGCGCCACGCCGCAAGGCUGGCGGCACGAAAAACCCAAUCCGGUGCAAGGCAAAAUAGGCGGCUGGACGGCCCGUCCGACAGCCGCGGGUAUGCCGCAUCGCGUCGCAAGACGCGGAAGCCGCGCAAGCGGCUUAGAGAAAUGACGGUCACGCGUGCGUUCUCUUCCGGCGCGCGCCGCACAUAAUCCGGCUUACCGGCUCCAAAACCAG